rnacentral:ncRNA from 1 species
UAAAAGAGGAGCGCCCGGACUAGAAAACUAGUUGACGAGGACCAGGUUUAUCGAAAGAUUCGGCGGAUGGCCUGGAGGUUGAUACGACCUAGAAACAAGGACAAAACCAAGCGGUGACGUUUGAACAAAUUCC